GAUUCUGUAUAUUCUUACUCGAAUUCUAGAUCCUAGCAAAGAAAUGAAAUCGAAGUUUUUCGAGGGACCAACCAACUUUUCGGAGAAGGGAUGGGAGGAAAUAAGAAACACGGGACCUGGAGGAAAGGAGAAUGAGAAAGCUAUAUCAAUUACAAGCUUGAAAACUACCAACGCGGUUGAUGUUCUAGAUUCUGCGGUUCUUACUCGCCUCAUUGAUAUCUUGAAGACACCAUCCCCUGAUGUG